CUGCGCUCUUUCCACAUCCCUAUGUAUUUUUAAACAAAACAAAACAGGUUUUUAGUUACCUCCAUUUGUUUAAAAAUACAUAGGGAUGUGGAAAGAGCGCAGGU